rnacentral:rRNA from 1 species
AUUUGACCUCAAAUCAGGUAGGAACACCCGCUGAACUUAAGCAUAUCAAUAAGCGGAGGAAAAGAAAAUAACAAUGAUUCCCCUAGUAACUGCGAGUGAAGAGGGACAAGCUCAAAUUUUAAAUCUAUCGGGUUUUACCUGAUCGAGUUGUAAUUUGAAGAUGGCGUUUUCUGUGUUUCUGAUCAGUCCAAGUCCUUUGGGAUAAGGCAUCAUGGAGGGUGAGAAUCCCGUUCGGUUGAUCAGAUUCGCUUUACGAUACGUUAUCAAAGAGUCAAGUUGUUUGGGAUUGCAGCUUAAAAUGGGAGGUAAAUUUCUCCUAAGGCUAAAUAACGGCGAGAGACCGAUAGCGAACAAGUACCGUGAGGGAAAGAUGAAAAGAACUUUGAAAAGAGAGUUAAACAGUACGUGAAAUUGUUGAAAGGGAAACGAUUGAAGCCAGUCGUACCUUCGGGUAAUCAGCCUUUUGGGUGUGAUUUUGUGGAGCGUGAAGAGUUAAACGCCUUCAUGCUUGCAUAUUCGUGCACUUUGGGUGUACUUGCCCGUAUGGUUGGUUAACAUCAAUUUUGGUGGUCAUAAAAUGACUGGAGGAAUGUAGCUUCGAUCUCGUAUUGAAGUAUUAUAGCCUUCGGUAGAUGUGAUGAUCGAGAUUGAGGAUUGCAACGGAUACCCUUCGGGGCUACCUGUCUGAUCUCUGAUCGUUGCUCUGGUACCGAAAGCUUGCUUACGGUUAUCAAAGUCGAUGGUCAAUAGGUUAGAACGGGUUAAAUUCGUUAAGGAUGUUGACGUAAUGGCUUUAAACGACCCGUCUUGAAACACGGACCA